rnacentral:rRNA from 1 species
GACGAACGCUGGCGGCGUGCCUAACACAUUCAAGUCGAACGGAAAGGCCCUUCGGGGUACCCUAGUUGCGAAACGGUGGGUAAAACGUUGGUUCUCUGCCCUCCUCUUUUGGAUAAGGCUGGGAAACUGGGUCUAAUACCCUAUAGGACCACGGCAUUCUUGUGCUUUUGUGGAAAUCUUUUGCGGUGUGGGAUGGGCCCGCGGCCUAUCAGCUUGUUGGUGGGGUAAUGGCCUACCAAGGCGCCGACGGGUAGCCGGCCUGGGAGGGUGACCGGCCACACUGGGACUGAGAUACGGCCCAGACUCCUACGGGAGGCAGCAGUGGGGAAUAUUGCACAAUGGGCGCAAGCCUGAUGCAGCGACGCCGCGUGAGGGAUGACGGCCUUCGGGUUGUAAACCUCUUUCGCCAGGGACGAAGCGCAAGUGACGGUACCUGGAGAAGAAGAACCGGCCAACUACGUG